rnacentral:rRNA from 1 species
AAUCAACGCUGGCGGCGUGCCUCAGACAUGCAAGUCGAACGAUUAGGACUUCCCUCGGGAGGUGCAUAAAGUGGCGCACGGGUGAGUAACACGUAAGUAAUCUACCCUCGAGUGGGGAAUAACGUUCGGAAACGAACGCUAAUACCGCAUAACGCAGCGGCACCGCAAGGUGACAGUUGUUAAAGGAGCAAUCCGCUUGAGGAGGAGCUUGCGGCAGAUUAGUUAGUUGGUAAGGUAAUGGCUUACCAAGGCUACGAUCUGUAUCCGGUCUAAGAGGACGGUCGGACACACUGACACUGAAUAACGGGUCAGACUCCUACGGGAGGCAGCAGUCGGGAAUUUUGGGCAGUGGGCGAAAGCCUGACCCAGCAACGCCGCGUGAAGGAUGAAGUAUUUCGGUAUGUAGACUUCGAAAGAAUGGGAAGAAUAAAUGACGGUACCAUUUAUAAGCUCCGGCUAACUACGUGCCAGCCGCCGCAGUAAAAC